rnacentral:rRNA from 1 species
GAUGAACGCUAGCUACAGGCUUAACACAUGCAAGUCGAGGGGCAGCAUCAUCAAAGCUUGCUUUGAUGGAUGGCGACCGGCGCACGGGUGAGUAACACGUAUCCAACCUGCCGACAACACUGGGAUAGCCUUUCGAAAGAAAGAUUAAUACCGGAUGGCAUAAUUAUUCCGCAUGGGAUAAUUAUUAAAGAAUUUCGGUUGUCGAUGGGGAUGCGUUCCAUUAGGCAGUUGGUGGGGUAACGGCCCACCAAACCUACGAUGGAUAGGGGUUCUGAGAGGAAGGUCCCCCACAUUGGAACUGAGACACGGUCCAAACUCCUACGGGAGGCAGCAGUGAGGAAUAUUGGUCAAUGGACGAGAGUCUGAACCAGCCAAGUAGCGUGAAGGAUGACUGCCCUAUGGGUUGUAAACUUCUUUUAUACGGGAAUAAAGUGAGCCACGUGUGGCUUUUUGUAUGUACCGUAUGAAUAAGGAUCGGCUAACUCCGUGCCAGCAGCCGCGGUAAUACGGAGGAUCCGAGCGUUAUCCGGAUUUAUUGGGUUUAAAGGGAGCGUAGGCGGGUUGUUAAGUCAGUUGUGAAAGUUUGCGGCUCAACCGUAAAAUUGCAGUUGAUACUGGCGACCUUGAGUGCAACAGAGGUAGGCGGAAUUCGUGGUGUAGCGGUGAAAUGCUUAGAUAUCACGAAGAACUCCGAUUGCGAAGGCAGCUUACUGGAUUGUAACUGACGCUGAUGCUCGAAAGUGUGGGUAUCAAACAGGAUUAGAUACCCUGGUAGUCCACACAGUAAACGAUGAAUACUCGCUGUUGGCGAUAUACAGUCAGCGGCCAAGCGAAAGCAUUAAGUAUUCCACCUGGGGAGUACGCCGGCAACGGUGAAACUCAAAGGAAUUGACGGGGGCCCGCACAAGCGGAGGAACAUGUGGUUUAAUUCGAUGAUACGCGAGGAACCUUACCCGGGCUUAAAUUGCAACUGACGGAACCGGAAACGGUUCUUUCUUCGGACAGUUGUGAGGGUGCUGCAUGGUUGUCGUCAGCUCGUGCUGUGAGGUGUCGGCUUAAGUGCCAUAACGAGCGCAACCCUUACGGGUAGUUACCAUCAGGUUAUGCUGGGGACUCUACCCGGACUGCCGUCGUAAGAUGUGAGGAAGGUGGGGAUGACGUCAAAUCAGCACGGCCCUUACGUCCGGGGCUACACACGUGUUACAAUGGGGGGUACAGAAGGCAGCUACACGGCGACGUGGUGCUAAUCCCAAAAGCCUCUCUCAGUUCGGAUUGGAGUCUGCAACCCGACUCCAUGAAGCUGGAUUCGCUAGUAAUCGCGCAUCAGCCACGGCGCGGUGAAUACGUUCCCGGGCCU